rnacentral:snoRNA from 1 species
AUCCCAUGAUGAGGACAAGCGGCCACAUACUCCUGCAGUCGUUCCCAUGCCUCUAGAAUGGACUCGUCCCUUGUUUGCUGGAAACUGGAAAUUCGUCCACGAAGGGC